UCUGGCUGGAACCGACUGGGCAGGUCACUGGGGUCCUCUCUUCACAGCCCAUUGUCCUCCCACUGGCCAGAACUGGCUAUGACGCCUGAGCUGGGCCUCCCGGUCAC